UACGUAGGGUGCAAGCGUUGUCCGGAAUUAUUGGGCGUAAAGAGCUCGUAGGCGGUUCGUCGCGUCGGCUGUGAAAUCCCGAGGCUCAACCUCGGGCCUGCAGUCGAUACGGGCGGACUUGAGUUCGGCAGGGGAGACUGGAAUUCCUGGUGUAGCGGUGAAAUGCGCAGAUAUCAGGAGGAACACCGGUGGCGAAGGCGGGUCUCUGGGCCGAAACUGACGCUGAGGAGCGAAAGCGUGGGGAGCGAACAGG
rnacentral:rRNA from 1 species